rnacentral:rRNA from 1 species
CCUUGUGGCGAAGUGGGUGAUCCUAUGCUGCCGAGAAAAGCCUCUAGUGAGUGUCGUGGCGGCCCGUACCCCAAACCGACUCAGGUGGUCAGGUAGAGAAUACCAAGGCGAUCGGGUGAACUGUGGUUAAGGAACUCGGCAAAUUGCCCCCGUAACUUCGGGAGAAGGGGGGCCUCCGCUGGUGAUCAGACUUGCUUUGUGAGCUGGUGGGGGUCGCAGAGGCCAGGGGGAAGCGACUGUUUACUAAAAACACAGGUCCGUGCGAAGUCGUAAGACGAUGUAUACGGACUGACGCCUGCCCGGUGCUGGAACGUUAAGGGGACCGGUUAGCGGGACGUAAGUCCUGCGAGGCUGAGAACUUAAGCGCCAGUAAACGGCGGUGGUAACUAUAACCAUCCUAAGGUAGCGAAAUUCCUUGUCGGGUAAGUUCCGACCUGCACGAAUGGCGUAACGACUUCCCCGCUGUCUCAACCGCAGACCCGGCGAAAUUGCACUACGAGUAAAGAUGCUCGUUACGCGCAGCAGGACGGAAAGACCCCGGGACCUUCACUACAGCUUGACAUUGGCGUUUGGAACGUCUUGUGUAGGAUAGGUGGGAGACUGUGAAGCCGUCACGCUAGUGGUGGUGGAGUCAUUGGUGAAAUACCACUCUGGUCGUUUUGAACGUCUAACUUCGGUCCGUGAUCCGGAUCAGGGACAGUGUCUGGUGGGUAGUUUAACUGGGGCGGUUGCCUCCUAAAGAGUAACGGAGGCGCCCAAAGGUUCCCUCAGCCUGGUUGGUAAUCAGGUGUCGAGUGUAAGUGCACAAGGGAGCUUGACUGUGAGACCGACGGGUCGAGCAGGAGCGAAAGCUGGGACUAGUGAUCCGGCGGUGGCAUGUGGAAGCGCCGUCGCUCAACGGCUAAAAGGUACCCCGGGGAUAACAGGCUGAUCUUCCCCAAGAGUCCAUAUCGACGGGAUGGUUUGGCACCUCGAUGUCGGCUCGUCGCAUCCUGGGGCUGGAGUAGGUCCCAAGGGUUGGGCUGUUCGCCCAUUAAAGCGGUACGCGAGCUGGGUUUAGAACGUCGCGAGACAGUUCGGUCCCUAUCCGCUGCGCGCGCAGGAGACUUGAAAGGAGCUGUCCCUACGAGAGGACCGGGACGGACGAACCUCUGGUGUGCCAGUUGUUCCGCCAGGAGCAUGGCUGGUUGGCUACGUUCGGAAGGGAUAACCGCUGAAAGCAUCUAAGCGGGAAGCUCGCCUUGAGAUGAGGUCUCCCACCACGUGAGUGGGUAAGGCCCCCGGGAGACGACCGGGUUGAUAGGCCGGAGGUGGAAGCACGGUAACGUGUGGAGCUGACCGGUACUAAUAGGCCGAGGACUUGACCAA